rnacentral:rRNA from 1 species
CCAGACUCCUACGGGAGGCAGCAGUGGGGAAUAUUGCACAAUGGGCGCAAGCCUGAUGCAGCCAUGCCGCGUGUAUGAAGAAGGCCUUCGGGUUGUAAAGUACUUUCAGUCGGGAGGAAGGUGUCAAGGUUAAUAACCUUGGCAAUUGACGUUACCGACAGAAGAAGCACCGGCUAACUCCGUGCCAGCAGCCGCGGUAAUACGGAGGGUGCAAGCGUUAAUCGGAAUUACUGGGCGUAAAGCGCACGCAGGCGGUCUGUCAAGUCGGAUGUGAAAUCCCCGGGCUCAACCUGGGAACUGCAUUCGAAACUGGCAGGCUGGAGUCUUGUAGAGGGGGGUAGAAUUCCAGGUGUAGCGGUGAAAUGCGUAGAGAUCUGGAGGAAUACCGGUGGCGAAGGCGGCCCCCUGGACAAAGACUGACGCUCAGGUGCGAAAGCGUGGGGAGCAAACAGGAUUAGAUACCCCAGUAGAU